rnacentral:rRNA from 1 species
GUAGGUGGCAAGCGUUGUCCGGAAUUAUUGGGCGUAAAGCGCGCGCAGGCGGGUUUUUUAAGGUCUGAUGUGAAAGCCCACGGGCUCAACCGUGGAGGGUCAUUGGAAACUGGAGAACUUGAGUACAGAAGAGGAAAGCGGAAUUCCACGUGUAGCGGUGAAAUGCGUAGAGAUGUGGAGGAACACCAGUGGCGAAGGCGGCUUUCUGGUCUGUAACUGACGCUGAGGCGCGAAAGCGUGGGCAGCAAACAGGAUUAGAUACCCUGGUAGUCCACGCCGUAAACGAUGAGUGCUAAGUGUUAGGGGGUUUCCGCCCCUUAGUGCUGCAGCUAACGCAUUAAGCACUCCGCCUGGGGAGUACGGCCGCAAGGCUG